GGCGUAAAGCGUGCGCAGGCGGUUUUGUAAGUCUGUCGUGAAAUCCCCGGGCUCAACCUGGGAAUUGCGAUGGAGACUGCAAGGCUAGAAUCUGGCAGAGGGGGGUAGAAUUCCACGUGUAGCAGUGAAAUGCGUAGAGAUGUGGAGGAACACCGAUGGCGAAGGCAGCCCCCUGGGUCAAGAUUGACGCUCAUGCACGAAAGCGUGGGGAGCAAACAGGAUUAGAUACCCUGGUAGUCCACGCCCUAAACGAUGUCUACUAGUUGUCGGGUUUUAAUUAACUUGGUAACGCAGCUAACGCGUGAAGUAGACCGCCUGGGGAGUACGGUCGCAAGAUUAAAACUCAAAGGAAUUGACGGGGACCCGCACAAGCGGUGGAUGAUGUGGAUUAAUUCGAUGCAACGCGAAAAACCUUACCUGGCCUUGACAUGCCACUCAACGAAGCAGAGAUGCAUUACGGUGCUCGAAAGAGAAAGUGGACACAAGGUGCUGCAUGGCUGUCGUCUGCUCGUGUCGUGAGAUGUUGGGUUAAGUCCAGUCAACGAGCGCAACCCUUGCCAAUAAUUGCCAUCAUUUAGUUGGGCACUUUAAUGAGACUGCCGGUGACAAACCGGAGGAAGGUGGGGAUGACGUCAAGUCCUCAUGGCCCUUAUGGCCAGGGCUUCACACGUAAUACAAUGGUCGGUACAGAGGGUUGCCAAGCCGCGAGGUGGAGCCAAUCCCAGAAAGCCGAUCGUAGUCCGGAUUGUUCUCUGCAACUCGAGAGCAUGAAGUCGGAAUCGCUAGUAAUCGCGGAUCAGC
rnacentral:rRNA from 1 species